rnacentral:misc_RNA from 1 species
AGGAAAUGAGGAUUAGAAUUAUCAAAGCUAAGGAACUGUUUCCAACUUUUCAUUAAACAGUCGCUGAAACUGAAACUGAUUGAUUUGCUGGAACAUCCAUUAUUUGUUCUUUAGUUGAAAGGCCGGCCCCUCAAUCCUAUUCUGACGGGUGUAGCAGUACCUUUGUCUUCUAAGGCGAAGUUCACAGUAAUGGAGGAGUUAAACAAGGGCUAAG